UGCUUCUCACCUUUACUGGCAAUAAAGCUGCAGACAUCUACUGUACCAUCUAUUAAGUUUCCUUGAUCUCUGAUUUUUAUUGCAUUAUCAAAGCAGGUGAGACACUGUGUUGGCAUUAUAUGAGCUUUACACACAUUCUUCUUAUUUCCAUCAUUCUUGUGUCAGCUGAACCAAUGCUGACACGACCUGAAUAAAAGGCAAAAUACUGUGUCAGUUCACACUGAGGUAAAGUAGCUGUAAAAAUGUUUAUAUAUGUUUAUACUCGCAAUGCUUCUUUGAUCAUCAUGAUGAGCCCUUGAAUGUUUCUGUCACUGGGAAGAUCUGAUUUGGGAUUACUUUCAUACCUUUCUAUGUAAGGGCAGAAUUCCUAAGCAAUCCUACACGAAGUAAGACUGUUUAAAAUCUUGGAUUCACACAUUCCCAGGCAGAGGUGUUGGUGCUGCAGACAGAGAGGAGCAGCAAGAAAGGAGGAGCUGCAGGUACUACCCCUUUAUUCACCUGUGGACUCCUGCCAGAUUCAGGAUGCUGACAUCCCAAGCUGAUGUAUUUCUAUGGAAUGGCUUCAUGGAUACCAUGAUGUGUGGAAU
rnacentral:lncRNA from 1 species